AGACAUGUUGCACACGCUCAAUGUCUCUGGAAAAGAUCAGGAUAUCAUCAAGCUGACACAAUAACUACCGGCUGUUCAUGGUCUUUCUUCCCACUGCUUGGCUCACAAAACAAGACAAAAAGAUAUACACAGAGGUAGUGCGGCGAUGGUCUCCUGAGCUUUACCUUGGAGCUUGCACUGGAG